UUUCUCCCCCCUCCCACUUAAGACAAAAAAAAAAAGACCAGGCAUACUGCAUCACAACUUAUAAACUGGAAGGUUAGGUUUCAAUACUUGCCAAACAAUGAUAGGGGACUGGGAGGAGAAGAACAAGCUUAAAUGAUAUAUUUUUUUUUGUAUCGUUCACUUUUUCAUAGGUCAAAGAACACCUAAAAUAGGUUUGUUUCAUAUUUUUGUUUUUUAGAGGGAAUGAUAAAUGGGUGGGUAGGUGGGGGAUAUUAUAACUCCCACCUCCCCUCCACACAAACUAGUAAAAUAGUAACAACUAGAUUUGCACCGAGUGUAGUAAACAUUUGUUUAAACAAACAUGCCAACAUUAGACUUCUCUCUCUCUCUCUCUCGCAGACAGACUGACGAAACACACAGCCACAUAACUAGAAAGAAGUGACCAAUACUAUACAGCAGAUUCACACAACAUAGAUGGAUUGGUGAAGAAGGGGGUUAAGGGUGCAUAGACAGUAAACACACCCCUCCGCCACACCCUAUGUUGCUUUUAUGUACAAACCUCACACCGCAAUCAACCAGUUUACUCUAUUCCCUCCUCCCCUCUUGGGGCACUGACUCACAUCUUCUUCAGAUUAACCAAUAAAGCAUACCCCAAAAACCCACCCACCAAAAAAAAAAACCAGAAAAAGAAACCCCAACCAACAACCUAGAUGAAGGGAUUAAAAAAAAAAGAUGAAAACAUCCUGCAACCAUUUGCCCAACUGUUCUGUGAAAAGGCUGCAGAGGAAAUAAUUAGGUUUCUUACAUAGGCACAAAAAUUAGGCGGAAGGGAGUUAGACAAUACCAUCAACCCUAGAACUUGACUGGUACUUUAUUUUAUCAACCUCGGAAGGAUGAAAGGCAAAGUUGACCUGGGGAGGAUUUGAACUCAGAAUGUAAAGAGCCAGAAGAAACACUGCAAGGCAUUUUGUCCAAUAAAGAGUAAAAGAAAAAUCAGGCGAUGAGAAUUUUAGUAUUUGUCUAAAACGACUAAGUUUAUAAUUACACCAGGGGACGAUAUAACAUGUGACAUUCAACUAUUAAAGGAGUAGAUUUAAUCUGGUCCCAGAACACAUGCUUAUUCGAUCUUCUAUGAAUGAAGAAGUUAUAAUACAGAAAUGAAGCUAUCUUAACAACCUCUAAUAUUUCUAAAGAUUUCAUUUUCUCAUCUUUUUACUAUUUGGCAAUUAUUUUCAUAAGUUAGCAUGGCUGGGAUGAAAUUUACUGACACGAAGUAGGUUUGUUCUGUUGCAGUCGAAUGUUCCUUUCACUGCCAACUUACAAACAUAAGAAUAGUACAGAUUAGUCAACUAGACACAAGUUAUGUAUUUUGCUCAGAAUAAACAAUAAAAUGACUGCAAUUAUAAGGUUUAAAGUCAUCACAAGUUAUGUAUUUUGCUCAGAAUAAACAAUAAAAUGACUGCAAUUAUAAGGUUUAAAGUCAUCAUACUCCAAGUAGUGGUGAUAAUAACAGUAGCAAUUGAACUGGACUUUAACCACUCCCUAAUUAAUCUUUCAAAUAUAUAAUAGCUAAACUGAGAAGUUGGCAAAAAAAAAAGGUGUAUUAAAUUUAGUAGAAUAUAUCCUUCAAAAUGACAUUUGCUAAAACCUAAGAAAAUGUUGACCUCAAUAUAUAUCUAUAUACACAGACACACAUAAAAUGACUGCUGCAUACACGUGAAAAAGCUUAGAAUGGUGCUACAGUGAUCAAAAGCUUCAAACGAAUAAAUAAACUGGAUUAAAUUAAUGGAGUACUUUUUCUCCCAUUUAUAUAACAAAACACACACACACACACAAUCAUAAUAAAAAAACAAACAACUUUUGAGGCAAGUAUUAUCAAGAAUUAGUCCAACAAUACAAACACAAAGACAAUAUAUGAAGUGAUAUUAAAGCAAGCUAAGAUAUACCUGAACAGGAUCGUUAAGAUGUGAACGUCGAUGUAUUUCUAUUAAAUAAAACACAGCUCAGGUGACUGAGAAAGCCAGCAUACAGGUAAUGGCACAGCUGUGACGAUAAAUGGCAGAAUGAAAGUAAGGAAUUGUUGACAGAAUUUUGGGGGAGUAGAGGAGAGAAAAUUAAAUCGACUUGUGCGAAGUUCUUGAAACGAGUAGUCCCAAUAAUUUUAAGAGACUAGCAGCAUAUCUGAUUCUUUUGAGAAAUAAUCAGGUUUAAAUGAUGAUCGCUGAUGUUCCAUUCUGGCUCCAGUGGUUUUUCAGUCAUAAACAGUAGGAGUAGGGAGGGGAGUGAGAAUGCUUUCUCAUCUUAAAAAAACAGAAAACAUAAGGAAGCCAACAAAAAAUCUAAGACAAGCUCAUUGACACAAAAGGCGAUGACAAAAGUGAAUCACAGGAAAUGUUCAAUAGAAAAAAUUUCUUAUAAAAAAA
rnacentral:lncRNA from 1 species